GACGAACGCUGGCGGCGCGCCUAACACAUGCAAGUCGAGCGGAGAUAGUACUUCGGUUCUAUCUUAGCGGCGGACGGGUGAGUAACGCGUGAGCAACCUGCCCUUGAGCGGGGGAUAGCGUCUGGAAACGGACGGUAAUACCGCAUAAUGUACGUUGGAGGCAUCUCCGAUGUACCAAAGGAGGAAUCCACUCAAGGAUGGGCUCGCGUCCGAUUAGGUAGUUGGUGAGGUAACGGCCCACCAAGCCUGCGAUCGGUAGCCGGACUGAGAGGUUGUACGGCCACAUUGGGACUGAGACACGGCCCAGACUCCUACGGGUGGCUG
rnacentral:rRNA from 1 species